UGGGGAAUAUUGCGCAAUGGCGGAAGCCUGACGCAGCGCCGCCGCGUGAAUUAUGAAGGCCUUCGGGUUGUAAAGUUCAGUACGCAGGGAAGAAUAAGCAACGGGUAAUAUUCGUUGUGAUGACGGUACCUGCCUAAAGCACCGGCUAACUACGUGCCAGCAGCCGCGGUAAUACGUAUGGGGCAAGCGUUGUUCGGAAUUAUUGGGCGUAAAGGGCGUGUAGGCGGGUGAUUAAGUUAGAUGUGAAAGCUAUGGGCUCAACCCAUAAAUUGCAUCUGAGACUGGUUCUCUUGAGUCCGGGAGAGGAGAGCAGAAUUCCAGGUGUAGCAGUGAAAUGCGUAGAUAUCUGGAAGAACACCAGUGGCGAAGGCGGCUCUCUGGCCUAGGACUGACGCUGAAGCGCGAAAGCGUGGGGAGCGAACA
rnacentral:rRNA from 1 species